rnacentral:lncRNA from 1 species
UGGCACUGUCAGCCGGACUGGCGGUGGCCUGGGAGGGUAGAGCAAGCGUGCUCAGGAUUCCUAGGAAGAGCGUGUCCCGCGCACAGGACCCGAGCUGCCCGGCCCGAGGAGAUAAUGAACGCUCUUUCCAGGCCCAUGCGGCCUGGGGUGCCCUGGGGCCGGCAGUCGCCCAGAGCGGAUACCUGGGCCCAUACCCUCGGUUGGGUUUGGGGGUUCAUAUGAGCUGCCCGGACUUCUCAUGCAGUGUAGCAACAGACCCUGAAGCCAGCCCCUAGACACACACACAUCUCUAAAAUGGGGUUGUGGGAGAAUUAGGUGACUGAAGUUUUCGCAGCGGAGCCGUGCACACUGUUGGGGAGCGCUCAUACUGGGGCUGGGAGCUGUGCUCUCCUGCUGUUUGAACCCAGUACCAACCCCUGACGCCAGUUCUUCCCUCUGGAUCUACUUUAUGGAGGUUUCUCUGUGGGCACCUUCAAACAGCGACUCGCUCUGACGAGUUCACUGAGACACAUCGGGACAGUGACGCAGGCCUGUGUGGUGGCCCCGAAGCUGAGCCCUCCUAAUUGCCUCCUUCCGGCUCAUUUACCUGCUGGUGAGCCUCAGCAUGUCGCUGUCUGAUAAUGCACUUCCUUGUCCCCACUUCCAUCCCGGGACCAACGCCACACCUGCUGGGCUGCCCCUGUCCCGAGCCCCCCUAACUGCAGUGUGAUGUUGGACUUGGCACACUGUUCUGCUAAGGAGGGUGAGAGUUCUGCGUGGGACUCUCAUUUUAACUAAUGGCUGCCCGUGGCUCAUGCGCCAACCCACACAUCCCCUGCUAAUGGUUUGCUCAAACAGCAGCAUGGUCGAGCAGCAGCGUGGUUGGUGUUGGGUGUGCACGUGCGUCUCCCUCAUUUGUAACAGGAAACAUCAUUUAUCAUCUGGAUGUUCUCCCGGGGCCCCUCUCCUGGACCAGAUGUGAAGCGGCCCAUUACGAGGCGGCACCGGGGAGGAGGAGGAGGGAAGAACACUGACAUUUAGCACAUGUCAGUUAGGAACCUCUUUGAUGCCAUUCCGACAACUCCUUCUGGGUUCCGGGGUGACAGGACGACGACAGAUGCGGGCAGAUGUUUUGUGACUCUCAGUCAUCGCUGUGUGCCAACACACACCCUCUUCUAACUUAUGCCGAAUAAUGAAAAUGAAAUCCAAUAAUAAUAGACAGGGAUUGUGGGAAGAAAGCAACCCAUAACCUAUUAUUUUUUUUCUUUCUUCGGAAAGAAUCUUUAGGUGAGGAUUAUGAUUUGGGGUGCAUCAAGAGGGGUCCUUCGUUCUGAAGAACUUCUGCAAACACACCCUCUGCCUGUCACUCCACCCAGAGGACUCUUUACCCAUGUCUGAGCACCUUACCAGGGAUUAGGGCAAAGCACAAUGGAGAAGGGUGGGGCCAGGGCCUGGGGACACAGCAAAUGGCCCCUGCCAGGCUGGACUGUGUUGGCAUCGCCAGGGUACAAAAAUGGCAGAGGGCGGGUCCAGAUGGCUUCCAGGGCCUUGCUGGGCUCCAGGCUCACUCUGGGGCUGACGAGCUCAGGCAGACAGACCUUUGUUUUUAAGCAGAAACAAAAGGAUGAAAUCAUUAGCAUCAGUUGGGCACAUUCAAUGUAGAUUACUGACAUGCCAUUGUUACGAGGAUAAAAGAAAUAUAAUUAGUAGAACCCGCCCUGCCUGCCCUUUGUGCUUCCUGUGAAGUCUGUG